rnacentral:rRNA from 1 species
UACGAAGGGGGCUAGCGUUGCUCGGAAUGACUGGGCGUAAAGGGCGCGUAGGCGGAACAUACAGUCAGAUGUGAAAUUCCCGGGCUCAACCUGGGGGCUGCAUUUGAUACGUGUGAUCUAGAGUGAGGAAGAGGGUCGUGGAAUUCCCAGUGUAGAGGUGAAAUUCGUAGAUAUUGGGAAGAACACCGGUGGCGAAGGCGGCGACCUGGUCCAACAUCGACGCUGAGGCACGAAAGCGUGGGGAUCAAACAGGAUUAGAAACCCUAGUAGU